GCGGUGGUAGUGUAAUGGUGAGCAUAGUUGCCUUCCGAGCAGUUGGAGCCGCGUUCGAUUCCCGGCCACCGCA